UGACAGCGUGCCUUUUGAAGAAUGAGCCUGCGAGUUAUCGAUAUGUCGCGAGGUUAACCCGUGAGGGGUAGCCGUAGCGAAAGCGAGUCUGAAUAGGGCGACGCAGUGGCAUGUCGUAGACCCGAAGCGGAGUGAUCUACCCAUGGCCAGGUUGAAGCGAAGGUAAGACUUCGUGGAGGACCGAACCCACCUAGGUUGAAAACUGGGGGGAUGAGUUGUGGGUAGGGGUGAAAGGCCAAUCAAACUCCGUUAUAGCUGGUUCUCCCCGAAAUGCAUUUAGGUGCAGCGUCACGCGUUUCUUAUCGGAGGUAGAGCACUGGAUGAGCUAGGGGGCCCAAAAGCUUACUGAACCCAACCAAACUCCGAAUGCCGAUAAGUUAGAGCGUGGCAGUGAGACUGCGGGCGAUAAGGUUCGUAGUCGAGAGGGAAACAGCCCAGACCACCAACUAAGGCCCCCAAGCGUAUGCUAAGUGGGAAAGGAUGUGGAGUCGCAUAGACAACCAGGAGGUUGGCUUAGAAGCAGCCACCCUUGAAAGAGUGCGUAAUAGCUCACUGGUCAAGUGAUUCCGCGCCGACAAUGUAGCGGGGCUCAAGCACACCGCCGAAGUCGUGACAUUGAUACGUGUACUCGGUCAGUCUGGUUCGCCGGACUGAUCCAGGUGUAUCGAUGGGUAGGGGAGCGUCGUGUGGCGAGCGAAGCGACGGGGUAACCCAGUCGUGGAUGCCACACGAGUGAGAAUGCAGGCAUGAGUAGCGAAAGACGGGUGAGAAACCCGUCCGCCGAAUGACCAAGGGUUCCAGGGCCAGGUUAAUCCGCCCUGGGUAAGUCGGGACCUAAGGCGAGGCCGACAGGCGUAGUCGAUGGACAACGGGUUGAUAUUCCCGUACCGGUGAUAACGCGCCCAUGCUGAACCUGGCGAUGCUAAGCGCCUGAAGCUGGAUUCUCUUCGGAGAUGAAAGUGGAGCGCGCGAACCAAACCAGUAGUAGGCAAGCAAUGGGGUGACGCAGCAAGGUAGUUCAUCCGCGGCGAUGGUAGUCCGCGGGCAAGGUUGUAGGGCGAGACAUAGGUAAAUCCGUGUCUCAUAAGCCUGAGAACCGAUGCGGAGCCGAUUCAGGCGAAGUGAAUGAUCCUACACUGUCAAGAAAAGCCUCUAGCGAGUGUUAUCACCGCCCGUACCCCAAACCGACACAGGUGGUCAGGUAGAGAAUACCAAGGCGAUCGAGAGAACCGUGGUUAAGGAACUCGGCAAAAUACCCCCGUAACUUAGGGAGAAGGGGGGCCAUUGCUGGUGACGGGAUUUACUCCCCGAGCUGGUGAAGGCCGCAGAGACCAGGCUGAAGCGACUGUUUAUCAAAAACACAGGUCCGUGCUAAGUCGCAAGACGAUGUAUACGGACUGACGCCUGCCCGGUGCUGGAACGUUAAGGGGACGGGUUAGUGCUUUUAGCACGAAGCUCUGAACUUAAGCGCCAGUAAACGGCGGUGGUAACUAUAACCAUCCUAAGGUAGCGAAAUUCCUUGUCGGGUAAGUUCCGACCUGCACGAAUGGCGUAACGACUUCAGCGCUGUCUCAACCGCGGACUCGGCGAAAUUGCACUACGAGUAAAGAUGCUCGUUACGCGCGGAAGGACGGAAAGACCCCGGGACCUUUACUACAACUUGGUAUUGGUGGUCGGUUCGGUUUGUGUAGGAUAGGUGGGAGACUUUGAAGCAGUAACGCCAGUUAUUGUGGAGUCGUUGUUGAAAUACCACUCUGAUCGAAUUGGCUGUCUAACCUCGGUCCAUUAUCUGGACUAGGGACAGUGCCUGGUGGGUAGUUUAACUGGGGCGGUUGCCUCCUAAAAAGUAACGGAGGCGCUCAAAGGUUCCCUCAGCCUGGUUGGCAAUCAGGUAGCGAGUGUAAGUGCACAAGGGAGCUUGACUGCGAGACCGACAGGUCGAGCAGGGACGAAAGUCGGAACUAGUGAUCCGGCACCGGCUUGUGGAAGCGGUGUCGCUCAACGGAUAAAAGGUACCCCGGGGAUAACAGGCUGAUCCUGCCCAAGAGUCCAUAUCGACGGCAUGGUUUGGCACCUCGAUGUCGGCUCGUCGCAUCCUGGGGCUGGAGUAGGUCCCAAGGGUUGGGCUGUUCGCCCAUUAAAGCGGCACGCGAGCUGGGUUCAGAACGUCGUGAGACAGUUCGGUCCCUAUCCUCCGCGCGCGCAGGAGUCUUGAGAAAGGCUGUCCCUAGUACGAGAGGACCGGGACGGACGAACCUCUGGUGUGCCAGUUGUUCCGCCAGGAGCACGGCUGGUUGGCUACGUUCGGGAGGGAUAACCGCUGAAAGCAUCUAAGCGGGAAGCCUGUUUCAAGAUAAGGACUCCCACAGAUUUAUCUGGUAAGGCCCCCAGUAGAUGACUGGGUUGAUAGGCCGGAGGUGGAAGUGCAGCAAUGCAUGGAGCUGACCGGUACUAAUAGGCCGAGGACUUGACCUC
rnacentral:rRNA from 1 species